rnacentral:rRNA from 1 species
GUUGCCUCGGCAGAAGUUAUAGGUCUUCUUAUAGCUGCUGCCGGUGGACCAUUAAACUCUUGUUAUUUUAUGUAAUCUGAGCGUCUUAUUUUAAUAAGUCAAAACUUUCAACAACGGAUCUCUUGGUUCUGGCAUCGAUGAAGAACGCAGCGAAAUGCGAUAAGUAAUGUGAAUUGCAGAAUUCAGUGAAUCAUCGAAUCUUUGAACGCACAUUGCGCCCAUUAGUAUUCUAGUGGGCAUGCCUGUUCGAGCGUCAUUUCAACCCUUAAGCCUAGCUUAGUGUUGGGAAUCUACUUCUCUUAGGAGUUGUAGUUCCUGAAAUACAACGGCGGAUUUGUAGUAUCCUCUGAGCGUAGUAAUUUUUUUCUCGCUUUUGUUAGGUGCUAUAACUCCCAGCCGCUAAACCCCCAAUUUUUUUGUGGUUGACCUCGGAUCAGGUAGGAAUACCCGCUGAACUUAAGCAUAU